rnacentral:rRNA from 1 species
AUUGAACGCUGGCGGCAGGCCUAACACAUGCAAGUCGAACGAGUGGCGGACGGGUGAGUAAUGUCUGGGAAACUGCCUGCUGGAGGGGGAUAACUACUGGAAACAGUAGCUAAUACCGCAUACCAUCGGAUGUGCCCAGAUGGGAUUAGAUAGUAGGUGGGGUAACGGCUCACCGAGGCGACGAUCCCUAGCUGGGCUGAGAGGAUGACCAGCCACACUGGAACUGAGACACGGUCCAGACUCCUACGGGAGGCAGCAGUGGGGAAUAUUGCACAAUGGGCGAAAUCCUGAUGCAGCCAUGCCGCGUGUAUGAAGAAGGCCUUCGGGUUGUAAAGUACUUUCAGCGGGGAGGCGUUACCCGCAGAAGAAGCACCGGCUAACUCCGUGCCAGCCGCCGCGGUAAUAC